CCUACGUGUGGCAGCAGUGGGGAAUAUUGGGCAAUGGGCGCAAGCCUGACCCAGCAACGCCGCGUGAAGGAAGAAGGCUUUCGGGUUGUAAACUUCUUUUGUCAGGGACGAAGCAAGUGACGGUACCUGACGAAUAAGCAACGGCUAACUACGUGCCAGCAGCCGCGGUAAUACGUAGGUGGCAAGCGUUAUCCGGAUUUACUGGGUGUAAAGGGCGGGUAGGCGGGAGUGCAAGUCAGCUGUGAAAACCACGGGCUCAACCUGUGGCCUACAUUUGAAACUGUAGUUCUUGAGUACUGGAGGGGCAGACGGAAUUCCUAGUGUAGCGGUGAAAUGCGUAGAUAUUAGGAGGAACACUAGUGGCGAAGGCGGUUUGCUGGACAGCAACUGACGCUGAGGCGCGAAAGCGUGGGGAGCAAACAGGAUUAGAUACCCCUGUAGUC
rnacentral:rRNA from 1 species